rnacentral:tRNA from 1 species
GCCGCUGUAGCUCAGUGGCAGAGCAGCUGUUUCGUAAACAGCAGGUCGUGAGUUCGAGUCUCACCGGCGGCUCCA